rnacentral:rRNA from 1 species
UACGUAGGGCGCAAGCGUUGUCCGGAAUUAUUGGGCGUAAGGAGCUCGUAGGUGGUGUGUCGCGUCUGCCGUGAAAGCCCGGGGCUUAACUCCGGGUCUGCGGUGGAUACGGGCAGACUAGAGGCAGGUAGGGGAGAACGGAAUUCCCGGUGUAGCGGUGAAAUGCGCAGAUAUCGGGAGGAACACCGGUGGCGAAGGCGGUUCUCUGGGCCUGUACUGACGCUGAGGCGCGAAAGCUAGGGGAGCAAACAGG